rnacentral:misc_RNA from 1 species
ACUAUUCUUCAAUGAAAUCGUCGUGGCGUAAAAUAGCUUGGAGCUCAGCACAGCUCCUAUCAACGGCGUUCUGGAUCGCGGUAAACACGAUUUUCACGACGACCAGAAAUGUCAGUACGGGGACGAUUUGGUGCGCUUGAAGAUGACUUCAUAGUGGUGAUGUCCAGAAGAGGCCAAAGCCGAUCACCGUAGCUGACUCUUUGGUCUGAGAAGGAGUAAGGAGAUUGCGAAAAUGAAUCUUCUAAAUAUGGACGCGGAGAAUCGCGUCGUGCUGAACGUGGGCGGUAUCCGACACGAGACUUACAAGGCGACCCUGAAGAAGAUCCCCGCGACGCGGCUGUCCCGGCUGACGGAGGCGCUCGCCAACUACGACCCGGUGCUCAACGAGUAUUUCUUCGACCGACACCCAGGGGUCUUCGCGCAAGUCCUCAACUACUACAGGACGGGCAAACUGCAUUACCCAACAGACGUUUGCGGUCCACUUUUCGAGGAAGAGCUGGAGUUCUGGGGUCUGGAUGCCAACCAGGUGGAGCCGUGUUGUUGGAUGACUUACACACAGCACCGUGACACUCAAGAAACCCUGGCCGUCCUGGACCGCCUCGACUUGGACACGGAGAAGCCCACUGACGAGGAGGUCGCCCGUAAGUUCGGGUUCGAGGAAGAUUACCUAAAAGGAACCGUUAGCUGGUGGCAACAUCUCAAGCCCCAAAUGUGGUCAUUAUUCGAUGAGCCGUACAGUUCAAAUGCUGCUAAGAUAAUCGGUGUUAUAUCAGUGUUUUUCAUUUGUGUAUCGAUAAUAUCGUUCUGCCUAAAAACGCAUCCAGACAUGAGAGUGCCAGUGAUCAGAAACUAUUCAGUCACGACUGCGAAUCAAACGCAGAGCUGGGCGCUGGACAAAGUGCAGACAAACGCCCACAUCGCGUUCUUUUACAUCGAGUGUGUGUGUAACGCGUGGUUCACAUUGGAGAUCCUAGUCCGUUUCAUAUCCUCUCCAAAUAAAUGUGAAUUCGUCAAAUCCUCGGUCAACAUCAUCGACUACAUAGCCACAAUGAGCUUUUACAUCGACCUCAUUCUCCAAAAGUACGCCUCUCACGUCGAGAACGCUGAUAUCCUCGAGUUCUUCUCGAUUAUUAGGAUUAUGAGGCUCUUUAAGCUGACUAGACAUUCGUCUGGCCUCAAAAUCCUCAUCCAGACUUUUAGAGCUUCUGCCAAGGAGUUGACACUGCUAGUCUUUUUCUUGGUACUGGGUAUUGUGAUUUUCGCAAGUCUGGUGUACUACGCGGAGAGGAUACAGACGAAUCCUCACAAUGACUUCAAUAGUAUACCGCUGGGACUAUGGUGGGCCCUAGUGACUAUGACUACCGUUGGAUAUGGUGACAUGGCGCCGAAAACCUACGUUGGAAUGUUCGUUGGAGCGCUCUGCGCCUUAGCUGGGGUACUGACGAUAGCGCUCCCAGUUCCAGUUAUAGUAUCGAACUUCGCCAUGUACUAUUCGCACACGCAAGCGAGGGCCAAGCUGCCGAAGAAGCGGCGAAGAGUCAUCAACGUGGAACCAACCAGGCCACCUCUCCGUGCCCCAGGAGUGACCGCCCCAGCUGGACCAAUGGCUCCUGGCUUGGGACCUCAAGUCGUCAAUCGACGUAUGAACGCAAUUAAGACCAACCAUCCUAAAGAUAUGAUGGGACCUAACAUGGAUGGUGAUCGUAGCGAGCUUGAAGCUAUGAUCCAAACAACACCAAACAACUGCAAAAGAAAAAAUUUAAACAUGCUUUAGAAAGCAACACAAAGACGCCGUUGGGGUGAACGAACGGGCUUUGUAUUUCGCCUGCACAUACGGAUUUGCUUACAGGAAUGCUACCUUAGUCAUCACUAACUAAUCAUCAUCAUUUGCACGUCUUCAAGCACACGGAGCCAUCAAAUAGGGUCCCCCAUUCAUCGCGGAUGGAACAAAGUUGCAACUCUAAUGCCCGGAAUGGAUCUCUCAGUUACCACACGAUUAACGCCGAGCCCCCGGGAUAUGUCACCGGCACUGGCCAUAGCUCUUCCCAUGAUGAAAUCAGU